rnacentral:rRNA from 1 species
UACGUAGGGGGCUAGCGGUGUCCGGAAUCAUUGGGCGUAAAGCGCGUGUAGGCGGUUCGGUAAGUCCGCUGUGAAAGUCGGGGGCUCAACCCUCGGAUGCCGGUGGAUACUGUCGAGCUUGAGUACGGAAGAGGCGAGUGGAAUUCCUGGUGUAGCGGUGAAAUGCGCAGAUAUCAGGAGGAACACCAAUUGCGAAGGCAGCUCGCUGGGACGUUACUGACGCUGAGACGCGAAAGCGUGGGGAGCAAACAGG